UUCCCAUUUUCCUCUCCUCUCCCCGAUUUCUCCCUUUCCUCUCCUCUCCCCCGCUGCGAUUCUCCCUCUCUUCUUUCUCUCCUCUCCCCGAUUCUCCCUCUCCCCGAUUCUUCUUCUCUCGCUCGAGCCUCCCGUCGAGUGAUUUGGAACGGCAAGAAGCAACGAACCCCAAUAUGGAAAGUAGUGGAGGAGACAUCAUAUCUAGUAUACAAUCUAUGAGGGCAGAAGAUGAAGUGAUCUCUGAACGAAGACCACUAUGUUAUUGUGGCAUUCUCUCCAAACUACGGACGUCGAGCAAUCCAAAAAGUUUUAUUUAUUGCGUUAUUAGUUAGUCUAAAUUUCAGUAAAGUCAAUGAUAAUGUAAAUCGUUUAAUGCUACAUUAAGAUGUAUAUGUGGCUUAUCAAGUUGUAUUUAUUUUCUGAACCAGUUGCAUUCAAGUUGUAUUUGUGCAAAACUAUUUUUUGUAAAAGACUCUUGGGUUGUUGCAGACUAUUGAAAUUGCAUUUGUAAGACUAUUUUCCCUGUAUA